AAAGCGUGCGCAGGCGGUUUUGUAAGACUGUCGUGAAAUCCCCGGGCUCAACCUGGGAAUGGCGAUGGUGACUGCAAGGCUAGAGUUUGGCAGAGGGGGGUAGAAUUCCACGUGUAGCAGUGAAAUGCGUAGAUAUGUGGAGGAACACCGAUGGCGAAGGCAGCCCCCUGGGUCAAAACUGACGCUCAUGCACGAAAGCGUGGGGAGCGAAACAGGAUUAGAUACCCCUG
rnacentral:rRNA from 1 species